GCUCUUGUCGUUCAAUGGAUAGGACACAUCCCUGCGAAGGAUGAAAUGCAGGUUCGAUUCCUGCCAAGGGCACCA
rnacentral:tRNA from 1 species